rnacentral:rRNA from 1 species
CAGUCGUACUGAUGGGAAAUCAACUUCUCGAGUGCUUGUCGUGGAUGACGUUGAGCUUCACGGCCUUCGUUGCUUACGUUAUGGUGCUUUUGAGGUGUACUUUCCGUAUGGUAGGUCAACAUCGAUUUUGAUCGUCAUAAAAUGAUCGGAGGAAUGUGGCUCUGAUCUCGUAUCGGAGUGUUAUAGCCUUUGGUAGAUGUGACGAUUGGGAUCGAGGAUUGCAACGAAUACCCUUUUGGGCUAUCCGUCUGACCUCUGAAAGUCGCUCGGGUGUUGAAAGCGUGCUUAUGACAUUCUAGUUGGCGGUCAAAAGGUUAGAACGUGAUUACAUUCGUUAAGGAUGUUGACGUA